rnacentral:rRNA from 1 species
AUUGAACGCUAGCGGGAUGCUUUACACAUGCAAGUCGACCGAGUGGCGGACGGGUGAGUAAUAUAUUGGAACGUGCCCAGUAGCGGGGGAUAACUACUCGAAAGAGUGUCUACUACCGCCUACUCUUCGAGCGGCCGAUAUCGGAUUAGCUAGUUGGUGGGGUAAAGGCUCACCAAGGCAACGAUCCGUAGCUGGUUUGAGAGGACGACCAGCGAAGCUGGAACUGAGAAACGGAGCAGACUACUACGGGAGGCAGCAGUGGGGAAUGUUGGACAGUGGGGGAAACCCUGAUGCAUGCAUGCCGCGUGUAUGAGAAGGACUUCGGGUUGUAAAGUACUUUUGGCAGUGAGGCGGUCUAUUCAGAAUAAGCACCGGCUACCGACGUGCCAGCAGCCGCGGUAAUUC